GAAAUGCGAUAAGUAGUGUGAAUUGCAGAAUUCAGUGAAUAAUCGAAUCUUUGAACGCACAUUGCGCCCCUUGGUAUUCCAUGGGGCAUGCCUGUUCGAGCGUCAUUUGUACCCUCAAGCUCUGCUUGGUGUUGGGUGUUUGUCCCGUCUCCGCGCGUGGACUCGCCCCAAAGUGAUUGGCAGCCGGCGUACUGGUCCCGGAGCGCAGCACAUGUCGCGCAAACGAGUGCCUUGGUACGGCGGCGUCCAUAAGCCCCUCUCUCACGCUCUUGACCUCGGAUCAGGUAGGGAUACCCGCUGAACUUAAGC
rnacentral:misc_RNA from 1 species